rnacentral:rRNA from 1 species
CGAGCGAACAGAUAAGGAGCUUGCUCCUUUGACGUUAGCGGCGGACGGGUGAGUAACACGUGGGUAACCUACCUAUAAGACUGGGAUAACUUCGGGAAACCGGAGCUAAUACCGGAUAACAUUUGGAACCGCAUGGUUCUAAAGUGAAAGAUGGUUUUGCUAUCACUUAUAGAUGGACCCGCGCCGUAUUAGCUAGUUGGUAAGGUAACGGCUUACCAAGGCGACGAUACGUAGCCGACCUGAGAGGGUGANCGGCCACACUGGAACUGAGACACGGUCCAGACUCCUACGGGAGGCAGCAGUAGGGAAUCUUCCGCAAUGGGCGAAAGCCUGACGGAGCAACGCCGCGUGAGUGAUGAAGGGUUUCGGCUCGUAAAACUCUGUUAUUAGGGAAGAACAAACGUGUAAGUAACUAUGCACGUCUUGACGGUACCUAAUCAGAAAGCCACGGCUAACUACGUGCCAGCAGCCGCGGUAAUACGUAGGUGGCAAGCGUUAUCCGGAAUUAUUGGGCGUAAAGCGCGCGUAGGCGGUUUCUUAAGUCUGAUGUGAAAGCCCACGGCUCAACCGUGGAGGGUCAUUGGAAACUGGGAAACUUGAGUGCAGAAGAGGAAAGUGGAAUUCCAUGUGUAGCGGUGAAAUGCGCAGAGAUAUGGAGGAACACCAGUGGCGAAGGCGACUUUCUGGUCUGUAACUGACGCUGAUGUGCGAAAGCGUGGGGAUCAAACAGGAUUAGAUACCCUGGUAGUCCACGCCGUAAACGAUGAGUGCUAAGUGUUAGGGGGUUUCCGCCCCUUAGUGCUGCAGCUAACGCAUUAAGCACUCCGCCUGGGGGAGUACGACCGCAAGGUUGAAACUCAAAGGAA